UACGAAGGGGCUAGCGUUGCUCGGAAUCACUGGGCGUAAAGCGCACGUAGGCGGAUUGCUAAGUCAGGGGUGAAAUCCUGGAGCUCAACUCCAGAACUGCCUUUGAUACUGGCGACCUUGAGUCCGGGAGAGGUGAGUGGAACUGCGAGUGUAGAGGUGAAAUUCGUAGAUAUUCGCAAGAACACCAGUGGCGAAGGCGGCUCACUGGCCCGGUACUGACGCUGAGGUGCGAA
rnacentral:rRNA from 1 species